rnacentral:rRNA from 1 species
AUUGAACGCUGGCGGCAGGCCUAACACAUGCAAGUCGAGCGGAUGACGGGAGCUUGCUCCUGAAUUCAGCGGCGGACGGGUGAGUAAUGCCUAGGAAUCUGCCUGGUAGUGGGGGACAACGUUUCGAAAGGAACGCUAAUACCGCAUACGUCCUACGGGAGAAAGCAGGGGACCUUCGGGCCUUGCGCUAUCAGAUGAGCCUAGGUCGAAUUAGCUAGUUGGUGAGGUAAUGGCUCACCAAGGCGACGAUCCGUAACUGGUCUGAGAGGAUGAUCAGUCACACUGGAACUGAGACACGGUCCAGACUCCUACGGGAGGCAGCAGUGGGGAAUAUUGGACAAUGGGCGAAAGCCUGAUCCAGCCAUGCCGCGUGUGUGAAGAAGGUCUUCGGAUUGUAAAGCACUUUAGGUUGGGAGGAAGGGCAGUAAGCGAAUACCUUGCUGUUUUGACGUUACCGACAGAAUAAGCACCGGCUAACUCUGUGCCAGCCGCCGCGGUAAAAC